rnacentral:sRNA from 1 species
CUUCUUCGAUCUGCUGCGGGCAGAUGAAGUGGAUGUGCGCAUCCAUGCCGCCCGCCGUCAGAAUCUUGCCUUCGCCGGCGAUAAUCUCGGUGCCGGGGCCGAUGAUGACGGUCACGCCAUUUUGCGUGUCGGGAUUGCCGGCCUUGCCGAUGACGGCGAUGCGGCCGUCUUUCAGACCGAUGUCGGCCUUGAAUAUGCCGGUGGCGUCCAGCACGAGGGCGUUGGUGAUGACGGUAUCGACAGCACCGCCCGCUCUCGAAACCUGGCUCUGGCCCAUACCAUCGCGGAUG